ACCUGGGUGGCUCAUUCAGUUGGGCGUCUGACUUCAGCUCAGGUCACGAUCUCACGGUCCGUGAGUUCGAGCCUCGCUUCGGGCU
rnacentral:tRNA from 1 species